rnacentral:sRNA from 1 species
CUGCUGAGGACAGAUCAUGUGAAUGUGGCAGUCCAGGAAUCCAGGUGUAAGUAUGCAACCUUCUCCUGAAGAUACUUCAGUGGCGGCGCUUACAACCAGAUUCUCAUCCACAUUGUCCAUGACUCCGGGAUUACCAGCUUUGCCUACGCCUGCUACUUUUCCGUUUCGGAAUCCUACAUCUCCCUUUACGAUUCCUAAAACAGGAUCCAUAACCACUACGUUGGUAAUCACAUGGUCAAGAGCUCCAUCGGCCUGUGUAGCUCCCGGACUCAUUCC